UAGAGCCGACAUAUCAUCAGUCAGCUAGAGGCUCCCGUCCGGUCAACACCUUUUGAGCUACAAAAAAAAUUAUAUAACGAAAUUCAAAAUUGAUUUUGUAAAUCCUAAUUUCAAUAAUGGCUAAUAAUUUAUAGACGGACACACAAAUGGAAGAUAAAAAAGAAAGCUUGCUUGCACUCUGCGGACGUAAAGGCAAUUUAAAAAAAUAAUUGCAUAAACGUAUACAUACUUCUUGUACACUAAAAAUACACAGAUGAUAUGCCUUAAUAUACAUGUUAAAUGAUAAAUACAUGUUAAAUGUUUUAAUGAAUUGAAUUAGCCAGGUAUUGGAAUUAGGGUAAAGCACCGAGAUGCUUGCAUAUUGUUAACGAGUACACCUAUUUUGGCGAUGUCAGCAAGAAUGCAUCCCAACCAUUAACAUGUUCAUUGUAUUGAAGUAAUACUUUAUUAGGGUUAUACAAUCAUAUAUGUCAUGUCUACGCCAGGUGUUUUUGAAUAACUUGAAAUUAAAGGGAUAUAAAAAUUA